rnacentral:rRNA from 1 species
CCUGGAGGCUUCCUAGUGGCGAACGGCUGAGUAACGCGUAGGUGACCUGCCCGGAAGUGGGGAAUAACUGCCCGAAAGGGUGGCUAAUACCGCAUGUGGUCGGCGAAUCGGAUCGCCGUCUAAAGGAGUAAUCCGCUUCCGGAGGGGCCUGCGUCCGAUUACCUAGUUGGUGGGGUAACGGCUCACCAAGGCGACGAUCGGUAGCUGGUCUGAAAGGAUGAUCAGCCUGACUGGGACUGAAACACGGCCCAUACUCCUACGGGAGGCAGCAGUCGGGAAUUUUGCCCAAUGAGCGAAAGCUUGAGGCAGCAACUCCGCGUGAGGGACGAAGGCCUUCGGGUUGUAAACCUCUUUUCUCAGGGAAGAUUCAAGACGGUACCUGAGGAAUAAGCCACGGCUAACUACGUGCCAGCAGCCGCGGUAAUACGUAGGUGGCAAGCGUUGUCCGGAUUUACUGGGCGUAAAGAGCGCGCAGGCGGCUGGGUCAGUCCGAUGUGAAAGCUCCCGGCUUAACUGGGAAAUUGCAUCGGAAACUGCUCAGCUUGAAGGUGGGAGAGGGUAGCGGAAUUCCCGGUGUAGUGGUGAAAUGCGUAGAUAUCGGGAGGAACACCAGUGGCGAAGGCGGCUACCUGGCCCAUUCUUGACGCUGAGGCG